GUAUGUGUUUGUCGGUGUUGUUAGUUGCAUGUCAGUUUACCUGUGGCUCCUUCUCUUGUUGGAUUUUUGGAACUCACCCAUGUCGACACAACAGAAAACAACAUUAUACUUGUGGAGGAUAGCGACACGGCCAGAGACACCCAGCAGGCUGAAAGCAGCAGCUGUACUACAGUUUUAUAGAUCUCAGCUUGUUUUUUUGAUUGGCAUGUGAGAGGGAGGCGUCCUUCAGCCCAGGACGUGAUCUAAACGUUUUACUUUAACUCUCCACUUCAAGGAUUUGUACUUUUGAAGCAGUUUAAGUGUUCCAUUUUUAAUCUUAUUUUGAAAAUACUUUGUACAUUUUGGUGCGAUUUAUGUAAAGUGCUUCUCCUUAUUAUUAGUGAAAUACCAUCAGUCAUAUCUCUUUUAGAUUAAGAGUUAUCUGUAGCAGCACAUUUUAAUACCUUUUUAAGCAAUGGUUUGAAUCCUCAUUUUUAACAUUAUUAUCCAAACAUUUUUGAUCAAAGGUGUGUGUGAUGUUUUUAAAGUCUUCUAAAGUAUAUUUUAUCAAAAGAAAAGAAAAGGCCUGCAUAAACUCAGUCUCUCUUCUUUUUAACAUGCACGUCUGACUUUUAGCAAGUUUUAAAUGAGACUACACUGAACAUAUUAAUGGGAAUGUGUAAUUAUUGUAUGUAUUAGUAGUUAUUAUAACCAGCUGGUGGUUUUAACACCUUACUUUGGUGCUGCAUUUAUUUACAACCUGUAACUUCCUGUUUUUA